rnacentral:tRNA from 1 species
GGAGGAGUACCCAAGUGGCCCAAGGGGACGGUUUGCUAAACCGUUAGGGUGCGCAAGCGCCGCGGGAGUUCGAAUCUCCCCUCCUCCG